GCCCUGUGGCUCAGUGGUGUUAGAGCACUCGCUUCGUAAGUGAGAGGACCCGGGUUCGAUUCCUGGGUGGGGCA